CCUACGGGUGGCAGCAGUGAGGAAUAUUGGUCAAUGGCCGGAAGGCUGACCCAGCCAAGCCGCGUGAAGGACGCAGGUGCCAAGCAUUUUAAACUUCUUUUGCCGGGGAACAAAGUGCCGCACGUGUGCGGUUUGGAGAGUACCCGGAGAGACAGCAUCGGCUAACUCCGUGCCAGCAGCCGCGGUAAUACGGAGGAUGCGAGCGUUAUCCGGGUUUAUUGGGUUUAAAGGGUGCGUAGGCGGACGCUUAAGUCAGCGGUAAAAUUGCGGGGCUCAACCUCGUCGAGCCGUUGAAACUGGGUGCCUUGAGUGGGCGAGAAGUACGCGGAAUGCGUGGUGUAGCGGUGAAAUGCAUAGAUAUCACGCAGAACUCCGAUUGCGAAGGCAGCGUACCGGCGCCCAACUGACGCUGAAGCACGAAGGCGUGGGUAUCGAACAGGAUUAGAUAUCCCAGUAGUC
rnacentral:rRNA from 1 species